rnacentral:lncRNA from 7 species
GCAAUCACUUCCAGCUGGGGCAAGUCAGAAAACCCUGAGUGUGUUUCCAAGGCUUGCUAAUGCCUGAUAUAAUAUAAAACUGUGACUAUUCAGAUGUAGAAGCUGAAGAUUUAAAGAUUUUCCCAUCAGAAAUAUUUAUUCAAGGAUUUAUGGAUCCUGAAAAAGUUGGCUUACACUACAUUAUUCCUCUAACUUUUGGAAAUAUUAUUUUUGAAAAACUACUUUUUAAAGUACAAAAAUAGGGAGCAAUUCUUCAUGAAGUUCAGAAGAUCACAUUGCUGCUAGUAAUUGUCUUGUUAACCCACGAGGGAAAUGGUGAAGUUUUGAGAGCCUGGAAAAUGACAAAUACAGAGCCUAUCUUCAGAAAUGGGAAAAAGAAAGGGUCAUGGAUUGCAGAGGAAUCAUCCUAACUUCAGUUCCUGGAAAAAGUUCUGGAACAAUAAUCAACUGAACUAUUUGUAAGCACUUGGAAGAUAACAGGGAGAGUUUGUUGGUGCUGUAGCUGAAACCCAAGUAACAAAAGUGGCAGUAAGCAGAAGGAGGACUAGAACAACAUAUCCCAGGACACCGUGGACUAUGUCACUGGGUACUCUGAAGACUAACAUUAGACAAUCGUAGAAUGUUUUGCAUAUAGCUCAUGUUCUUGUGGUUAAAGAUUCAGUGACCACAGUGUUUCUUCCACUCCAUUUUCUAUGGGCUAUGGUAAAUAUAUCACUGAAACACUGUUCUUUGGCUCUUUUCCUUGUCUUUGUGGACAAUUCCUCUGAAAUAGGAGAUUUUCAUAGUAUCUUAUUGCUAAAGAAACCACAUUUCAGGCAAGGAAAAUGGGGCAGUUGAAAACAUCCAAAAUGUCCUUGAUACCUGCUAUGUUAACACUCACAAAGAAAACAAAAUGUUCCCAAACUAAAGAGUACAGCACAUAGUUUGGUUAGUCACUUUGGAUGUGAUUUUGAAUGAAAAGUCAAGAAUCACAUACUUAGUGGUAUCUUCUUAUAAACUUCUGGGUAUUUAUUAACGAUUAGCUAUAAUUGAACUGUGUUGUUGAGGUAAACUUUUGUAGCAAGGAUACAUCAUUCCAAGAUCAUACACUGCCAUAAAAGAUGGUAUUUGAUAGGAGGGAGUAAAAAAGAUGGAGCCAAGGUCAUUUCUGUGGUGCCCAAUGGGCAAAAACUGAAACACAACUUGUUCCCUCUGAAUAUCAGGAAACACUUUAUUGUGAAGAAGUGUGUGAUUGCAAUAUGGAAGAAUGUAAACUUUUCCAGUAAUUUCUCUACUUUUGGUCUCGAUAUCUGAAAUACUAGCAUUUGUGUUAGUCUAUGCUUUGUUGUUUAGUCAGACUAAUACAUUUUUCAGUUAAUUUGCACUACAUUAUUCACCAAAUGUAAGUUCCAGUCUUGCAAGAACAAUAUUUUCCUUUUUUAUGUCCUUGCCAUAAUUUGAACGCUAUUUAGUGUGUUCCUUCUGCUGAUUCAGAGCCAUAGUCCAACUUCUGGCAUUUCUAUCUGUUAGCAUAUCUGUCAUUUUGCUGUGGAACACUUCUGGCUUGUUUGAGGUACCACAAUAAAUUUUUUAUCCAAUAACAUAUCAGAUGUACUCACUGACAAAUGCAAAAAUAAACAAACAUAAAAAUUGGAAACACAGUGUUUACAAAAGGGGGAGAGUCAUAUUAUGUGACCAGCUGAACAGAAGAUAAUGAGCUGAGUCACACAGAGACGCAUAACAUUCUUCACAGUGGGUGGAAAGAUUAUGAACUACGUGAGUCCCCGGCUGACAUAUUCAGGUACUAGGUGCCCCUUCAUCCCUUAGACACAUUAUGAAAUCUGGUAUGUGGCAAAGGUAUGUUACAGCAUCUGCAUAAGUAACGGUAUCUCUCAGUAAGGGCUGAAAGAGUUUCACAAGAACCUUGAUACAUAUUUAGGUAUGCUAUGGAGGAGUUUUCAAAAGGAGGAAAGUGAGACUCUGAAACAUGUUGCCCUGAGAUGUUCCAGAUACUCUGUCAUGGGAAAUUUUUAAAGAUGGUUUGGAGACACUUUGAGCAAAAUGACCUAGUGAAAGACAUCCUUUCUCAUGGCAGGGUGUUUGGAAUAGAUUAUAUUUAUGGGUUCUUUCCAGUCUAAACCAUUCUAUAAUUAUUGAAGAGAAUAUGGAAGCACUUGAUAAGUAAUAUCCUUGAGAUGCAAUGCACUAAAACCUUUUGUGACUUUGACACAAGAAAGACGUGUUAUGUAGUGGGGAUAUUUGAGAAUGAGGGCACUUAAACUUGGUAACAAAAUCAGAAUCUAAGUCUGGACCCGUAUUAUUCAAAUUCUUGUCCCUGUGCUGCACCUACAUAAAUACUGUUGUGUU